UAAAAAUGUAUAUACACCUUCCGGUUUCGCCAGACGGCAGCGGUGGCGGUGGGAUACUCACAAAAGCGGAGCCCUGACUUCCCAGUCCAAGCUGACGUUGGUGGUGCCGUGGUUGGUCAGUGCUCUGAUGCCCACCCCGGGCACGAAGGCUAGUGAAGUAUUUGGCAAUGAAAAGGCAUUGAUUUUGAUGUUUGUACGACUGGCUGCUCAAAUGAGAAACACAGCUGGGGAGAUGGCUCAGCGGCACAGUGCCCGCCUGGCAAGCGCAAGGUCCUGAGUUCGAUUUCCGGUACAAAAAAAGAAAGAAAAACUUAUUCAAAGCUGGUCCUGGAGGAACUCUCUGACGUCAGGUUGGGUGUGUCUCUUCUUCGCAGAAGGGGAACCAGAUCUCUACCUCCCGGACCCAACACUGACAUUCUCUUUUCAGACAAACACAUUACUUUCCUGCAAGUCAAUUCACGAACUAAGGUGUGGAUGAUGCAUUACAGAUACCUUUAUUCAGAAUUUAGAAUACCACGUGAUAGGGGCAAGUCCUCAAAAAACGAGACCUUCAGGGCAGCUGGGCAUGGUGGGAAUACAUACCUGUAUUCCUGGCACUCUAGGAUGCUGAGACAGGAGGACCUCCAGUUCCAACCUGGCCUAAGUAACUGAAAGACUUAAUGAGACCCCCUUUCAAAAUUAAGGGAAAAAAAGCGCGCGCGGUGUGUGUGGGGUGCUGAUAAUAUAGUUCAGUAUGAAAGCCCCGGGUUCAAUCCCCUGUACCAAAAAACCAACCUGCUGAGCAACAAACCCUCAGGCAGAUCCACCGAGUCACGCCAUCGCCAAAUCCCUGCCUAUGGAAACUGCCGGCUGCGUUCCGCGGGUAAGCCUCGGGGCGUGCUAAGCAGCAAGGUUACUAACACGCUUUCCGACCCAGAACCCGGGCCACACGCUGCGUUACAUCUGCUGUAGUAGGACGAACGCCCCGGCGCUGGGCUCAACUCCGGCUUCUGAGAACACCGCCAGGAAGACCCCGAGACGUCCAGAUCUGUGGAACCCAACCAACCUUCCACUGCUUCCUGGCGGAAGCCGCAAGCGCUCCGCAGCGGAAGUGUGGGGUCCGCGCUUCCGGGGCCGCGACCAGCGCCUGCGCAGUGUGUCUCUCCGGCAGGCUGCACAGCCGCACGCCGAGCAGGCGAUCGGAAGUGCGCGGCCGCUGUCUCGCUAGCGGGGUGGGCUGCAGGGGGCGCCUGAGGAGCGCGGCGCAGCGCCCCUCUUCGGAACCGCGGCCCGUGCCCCGGGCCCUCCGCGACCCGCGGAUCUCCAGUCGCCGCCGACC
rnacentral:lncRNA from 1 species